rnacentral:snRNA from 1 species
GGAUGUGAGGGCGAUCUGGCUGCAACAUCUGUUAUCCCAUUGAUACCAAGGUUGAUUCAGCUGACCUGGCUGGCUAGGCGGGUGAAACCCUUCCUCCCUCACCACUCCAUGUGUGUCCCUAGUCUAUCCCGAAGCUGCGUGUUGAAGAGGACGGCCUUCCCCAAUAGAGAUGGACCGGUCUUCGGUCGAGGGUAUACGAAUAGCUGUGUUCCCCUGCUAGAACCUCCAAACAAGCUCUCAAAACUGCUACACUCUGUGUAUAUACCAAUUUUACCUUUCAAGGACAUAGUCAAAUAUCUGUUGGCUGUUGGUUGAUAUGGUGG